GGUUAAGCGACUAAGCGUACACGGUGGAUGCCCUGGCAGUCAGAGGCGAUGAAGGGCGUGCUAAUCUGCGAUAAGCGCCGGUAAGGUGAUAUGAACCGUUAUAACCGGCGAUACCCGAAUGGGGAAACCCAGUGUGAUUCGUCACACUAUCAUUAACUGAAUCCAUAGGUUAAUGAGGCGAACCGGGGGAACUGAAACAUCUAAGUACCCCGAGGAAAAGAAAUCAACCGAGAUUCCCCCAGUAGCGGCGAGCGAACGGGGAGGAGCCCAGAGCCUGAAUCAGCAUGUGUGUUAGUGGAAGCGUCUGGAAAGGCGCGCGAUACAGGGUGACAGCCCCGUACACAAAAGCGCAUGUGCUGUGAGCUCGAUGAGUAGGGCGGGACACGUGGUAUCCUGUCUGAAUAUGGGGGGACCAUCCUCCAAGGCUAAAUACUCCUGACUGACCGAUAGUGAACCAGUACCGUGAGGGAAAGGCGAAAAGAACCCCGGCGAGGGGAGUGAAAAAGAACCUGAAACCGUGUACGUACAAGCAGUGGGAGCACAGGUUUACCUGUGUGACUGCGUACCUUUUGUAUAAUGGGUCAGCGACUUAUAUUCUGUAGCAAGGUUAACCGUAUAGGGGAGCCGGAGGGAAACCGAGUCUUAAUUGGGCGUUAAGUUGCAGGGUAUAGACCCGAAACCCGGUGAUCUAGCCAUGGGCAGGUUGAAGGUUGGGUAACACUAACUGGAGGACCGAACCGACUAAUGUUGAAAAAUUAGCGGAUGACCUGUGGCUGGGGGUGAAAGGCCAAUCAAACCGGGAGAUAGCUGGUUCUCCCCGAAAGCUAUUUAGGUAGCGCCUCGUGAAUUCAUCUCCGGGGGUAGAGCACUGUUUCGGCUAGGGGGCCAUCCCGGCUUACCAACCCGAUGCAAACUGCGAAUACCGGAGAAUGUUAUCACGGGAGACACACGGCGGGUGCUAACGUCCGUCGUGAAGAGGGAAACAACCCAGACCGCCAGCUAAGGUCCCAAAGUCAUGGUUAAGUGGGAAACGAUGUGGGAAGGCCCAGACAGCCAGGAUGUUGGCUUAGAAGCAGCCAUCAUUUAAAGAAAGCGUAAUAGCUCACUGGUCGAGUCGGCCUGCGCGGAAGAUGUAACGGGGCUAAACCAUGCACCGAAGCUGCGGCAGCGAACGUAUCACCCAAGACAACUUUACGGAGUUGACGAUUGACGGAGCGAAGCGACGUCAAAGCGUUCAUUAAAGUCGAGUUGGCUUAGGGAUACGUUCGUUGGGUAGGGGAGCGUUCUGUAAGCCUGUGAAGGUGUGUCGUGAGGCAUGCUGGAGGUAUCAGAAGUGCGAAUGCUGACAUAAGUAACGAUAAAGCGGGUGAAAAGCCCGCUCGCCGGAAGACCAAGGGUUCCUGUCCAACGUUAAUCGGGGCAGGGUGAGUCGACCCCUAAGGCGAGGCCGAAAGGCGUAGUCGAUGGGAAACGGGUUAAUAUUCCCGUACUUGGUGUUACUGCGAAGGGGGGACGGAGAAGGCUAUGUUGGCCGGGCGACGGUUGUCCCGGUUUAAGCGUGUAGGUGUGUGUUCCAGGUAAAUCCGGUUCACUUUAACACUGAGGCGUGACGACGAGGCACUACGGUGCUGAAGCAACAAAUGCCCUGCUUCCAGGAAAAGCCUCUAAGCAUCAGGUAACAUCAAAUCGUACCCCAAACCGACACAGGUGGUCAGGUAGAGAAUACCAAGGCGCUUGAGAGAACUCGGGUGAAGGAACUAGGCAAAAUGGUGCCGUAACUUCGGGAGAAGGCACGCUGACACGUAGGUGAAGUGAUUUACUCAUGGAGCUGAAGUCAGUCGAAGAUACCAGCUGGCUGCAACUGUUUAUUAAAAACACAGCACUGUGCAAACACGAAAGUGGACGUAUACGGUGUGACGCCUGCCCGGUGCCGGAAGGUUAAUUGAUGGGGUCAGCGCAAGCGAAGCUCCUGAUCGAAGCCCCGGUAAACGGCGGCCGUAACUAUAACGGUCCUAAGGUAGCGAAAUUCCUUGUCGGGUAAGUUCCGACCUGCACGAAUGGCGUAAUGAUGGCCAGGCUGUCUCCACCCGAGACUCAGUGAAAUUGAACUCGCUGUGAAGAUGCAGUGUACCCGCGGCAAGACGGAAAGACCCCGUGAACCUUUACUAUAGCUUGACACUGAACAUUGAGCCUUGAUGUGUAGGAUAGGUGGGAGGCUUUGAAGUGUGGACGCCAGUCUGCAUGGAGCCGACCUUGAAAUACCACCCUUUAAUGUUUGAUGUUCUAACGUGGACCCGUAAUCCGGGUUGCGGACAGUGUCUGGUGGGUAGUUUGACUGGGGCGGUCUCCUCCUAAAGAGUAACGGAGGAGCACGAAGGUUGGCUAAUCCUGGUCGGACAUCAGGAGGUUAGUGCAAUGGCAUAAGCCAGCUUGACUGCGAGCGUGACGGCGCGAGCAGGUGCGAAAGCAGGUCAUAGUGAUCCGGUGGUUCUGAAUGGAAGGGCCAUCGCUCAACGGAUAAAAGGUACUCCGGGGAUAACAGGCUGAUACCGCCCAAGAGUUCAUAUCGACGGCGGUGUUUGGCACCUCGAUGUCGGCUCAUCACAUCCUGGGGCUGAAGUAGGUCCCAAGGGUAUGGCUGUUCGCCAUUUAAAGUGGUACGCGAGCUGGGUUUAGAACGUCGUGAGACAGUUCGGUCCCUAUCUGCCGUGGGCGCUGGAGAACUGAGGGGGGCUGCUCCUAGUACGAGAGGACCGGAGUGGACGCAUCACUGGUGUUCGGGUUGUCAUGCCAAUGGCACUGCCCGGUAGCUAAAUGCGGAAGAGAUAAGUGCUGAAAGCAUCUAAGCACGAAACUUGCCCCGAGAUGAGUUCUCCCUGAGACUUUAGGUCUCCUGAAGGAACGUUGAAGACGACGACGUUGAUAGGCCGGGUGUGUAAGCGCAGCGAUGCGUUGAGCUAACCGGUACUAAUGAACCGUGAGGCUUAACCUU
rnacentral:rRNA from 1 species